GACGAACGCUGGCGGCGUGCCUAACACAUGCAAGUCGAGCGGGGUCCAUCCGGUAGCAAUACCGGGGGAAGACCUAGCGGCGAACGGGUGAGUAACACGUGAGAAACCUGCCCCGAAGUCUGGGAUAACCCGAGGAAACUCGAGCUAAUACCGGAUGUCUUCUUCUGAUCGCAUGGUCGGAUGAAGAAAGAUUUAUCGCUUCGGGAGGGUCUCGCGGCCUAUCAGCUAGUUGGCGGGGUAACGGCCCACCAAGGCGUCGACGGGUAGCUGGUCUGAGAGGACGAUCAGCCACACUGGGACUGAGACACGGCCCAGACUCCUACGGGAGGCAGCAGUGGGGAAUAUUGCGCAAUGGGCGAAAGCCUGACGCAGCAACGCCGCGUGCGGGAUGAAGGCCUUCGGGUUGUAAACCGCUUUCAGUGGGACGAAUUCAGACGGUACCCACAGAAGAAGCCCCGGCCAACUACAUGCCAGCAGCCGCGGUAAU
rnacentral:rRNA from 1 species